GAUGAAGAACGCAGUGAAAUGCGAUAAGUAAUGUGAAUUGCAGAAUUCAGUGAAUCAUCGAAUCUUUGAACGCACCUUGCGCUCUCUGGUAUUCCGGAGAGCAUGCCUGUUUGAGUAUCAUGAAAUCUCAACCAUUAGGGUUUCUUAAUGGCUUGGAUUUGGGCGUUGCCAGUUGCCUGGCUCGCCUUAAAAGAGUUAGCGUGUUUAACUUGUCAUAUCUGGCGUAAUAAGUUUCGCUGGUGUACGACUUGAGAAGUGCGCUUCUAAUCGUCCUCGGACAAUUCUUGAACUCUGGUCUCAAAUCAGGUAGGACUACCCGCUGAACUUAAGCAUAUCAAUAAGCGGAGGA
rnacentral:misc_RNA from 1 species